CCUACGGGAGGCAGCAGUGAGGAAUAUUGGUCAAUGGACGAGAGUCUGAACCAGCCAAGUAGCGUGAAGGAUGACUGCCCUAUGGGUUGUAAACUUCUUUUAUAUGGGAAUAAAAUGUUCCCCGUGUUGGAUUUUGUAUGUACCAUAUGAAUAAGGAUAGGCUAACUCCGUGCCAGCAGCCGCGGUAAUACGGAGGAUCCGAGCGUUAUCCGGAUUUAGUGGGUUUAUAGGGUGCGUAGGUGGAUGGUUAAGUCUGUUGGGAAAGUUUGCGGCUAAACCGUAAAAUUGCAGUUGAAACUGGCAGUCUUGAGUACAGUAGAGUUGGGCGGAAUUCGUGGUGUAGCGGUGAAAUGCUUAGAUAUCACGAAGAACUCCGAUUGCGAAGGCAGCUCACUGGACUGCAACUGACACUGAGGCUCGAAAGUGUGGGUAUCAAACAGGAUUAGAUACCCCUGUAGUC
rnacentral:rRNA from 1 species